UCUCCGUAGGUGAACCUGCGGAGGGAUCAUUACAAGUGACCCCCGGCUCCGGCCGGGGAUGUUCAUAACCCUUUGUUGUCCGACUCUGUUGCCUCCGGGGCGACCCUGCCUUUUCACGGGCGGGGGCCCCGGGUGGACACAUCAAAACUCUUGCGUAACUUUGCAGUCUGAGUGAAAAUAUAAAUUAUUUAAAACUUUCAACAACGGAUCUCUUGGUUCCG
rnacentral:misc_RNA from 1 species